UUCAGGGGUAAACCUGAGAAACCCGAAAGGUCGAAGGGGGAAAUUCAUUCGCGUCUCGACCGUCGGAGCGGAGCGUUCGAGUGACGGACGGCGUACGCGCCGUCUGCGCCGUACGUUUCGCGUUCCGACGUCGAACGCGUGCACUUUUCCCCCGGUAGGACGUCACGAUCCGUUGGGCGUCGGUCUAAGGCCCGCGGUGGAGCCCGGGCGCGCGUCUCGGCGCAGCGCCCGGACCCGCGGUGUCCCGGCCGACCCGCUCGACGGUAUACAGAUGGCGCGGGGCCGCUACGAUUCAGUUAGCGUUCGGCCCGCGGCAAGCGCGUCAGCCGCCGGCGGCGAUCGGACCUGGCGCCGGUCCUGCCCCCUGACGACUGUUGGCCGCGGUGCUCUCGAACAGACCCCGUCACGAAACGCCGAUCUGUGACGCUAUAGCUUUGGGUACUUUCAGGACCCACGGACCAAGGAGUCUAGCAUGUGCGCGAGUCAUUGGGACAUAACUAAACCUAAAGGCGCAAUGAAAGUGAAGGUUCGCCUCGCGCGAACCGAGGGAGGAUGGGCGGUUCGCGUUCACGCGCGGCCGCCCCGCACUCCCGGGGCGUCUCGUUCUCAUCGCGAGAAGAGGCGCACCAAGAGC
rnacentral:rRNA from 1 species